rnacentral:rRNA from 1 species
GUCGAGGGGCAGCGGGGUAGUGCUUGCACUACUGCCGGCGACCGGCGCACGGGUGAGUAACACGUAUGGAACCUGCCCGCAGCAGGGGGAUAAGCGGAAGAAAUUCCGUCUAAUACCGCGUAACAACGUUGGGAGGCAUCUCCCGAUGUUUAAAGAUUUAUCGGCUGCGGAUGGCCAUGCGGCGCAUUAGCUAGUCGGCGGGGUAACGGCCCACCGAGGCGACGAUGCGUAGGGGUUCUGAGAGGAAGGUCCCCCACACUGGUACUGAGACACGGACCAGACUCCUACGGGAGGCAGCAGUGAGGAAUAUUGGUCAAUGGCCGAGAGGCUGAACCAGCCAAGUCGCGUGAGGGAAGACGGCCCUACGGGUUGUAAACCUCUUUUGUCGGGGAGCAAAGCGAACCACGUGUGGUUCAUUGAGAGUACCCGAAGAAAAAGCAUCGGCUAACUCCGUGCCAGCAGCCGCGGUAAUACGGAGGAUGCGAGCGUUAUCCGGAUUUAUUGGGUUUAAAGGGUGCGCAGGCGGAGGUGCAAGUCAGCGGUCAAAUUGCGGGGCUCAACCCCGUACUGCCGUUGAAACUGCAUCCCUUGAGUGCGCGAGAAGUAUGCGGAAUGCGUGGUGUAGCGGUGAAAUGCAUAGAUAUCUUGAGAAACUCCGAUUGCGAAGGCAGCAUACCGGCGCGCAACUGACGCUCAUGCACGAAAGCGUGGGUAUCGAACAGGAUUAGAUACCCUGGUAGUCCACGCAGUAAACGAUGAACACUAACUGUUCGGCCAGAAUGAUGGCUGAGUGGUACAGCGAAAGCGUUAAGUGUUCCACCUGGGGAGUACGCCGGCAACGGUGAAACUCAAAGGAAUUGACGGGGGCCCGCACAAGCGGAGGAACAUGUGGUUUAAUUCAAUGAUACGCGAGGAACCUUACCCGGGCUCAAACGACACAGGAAUACUUUUGAAAGGAGGUAGCCCUACGGGGUCUGUGUCGAGGUGCUGCAUGGUUGUCGUCAGCUCGUGCCGUGAGGUGUCGGCUUAAGUGCCAUAACGAGCGCAACCCCUAUCGCCAGUUACCAUCAAGUAAAGUUGGGGACUCUGGCGAGACUGCCGGCGCAAGCUGAGAGGAAGGCGGGGAUGACGUCAAAUCAGCACGGCCCUUACGUCCGGGGCGACACACGUGUUACAAUGGCAGGUACAGAGAGAAGCCAGGUGGCGACACCGCGCGGAACUCGAAAGCCUGUCUCAGUUCGGAUCGGAGUCUGCAACCCGACUCCGUGAAGCUGGAUUCGCUAGUAAUC